UUAGAGAUAAAACACUUGCAUCAUGGUAUAAUAGUCAUACUCACACCCUCAAGAGGGAGACCCGUAACCUCGAACGGAAAUGGAGAAAAACUAAAUUAGAGGUGUUUAGAAUUGCGUAUGUAGCAAGGUAACAAAGAGGGGCGGGGUCUCUAACCCUAUUACGGAUUGCCAAUAAGCCACGCUUAUUUAAAGGACAGGCGAAAGCGAAGGGCGGCUGGGGUCCUGUUAGCAAUUGCCCGGUGCUCGGCUUGUAGCUGUGUGGGACCAUUAGUCCCGGUAUAUUUCCCCCGGUAUAAGUAUUUUACUGUUUUUAGCAUGUGAUAGUUUGAAACUCAGGAUCAUUGUGGAUUUGUUUUGCCAAGAAUGUGGGUUUGAUGUUCGGGACCACCGUGCAGUUGGCUGGUUGGUUUCGUUUCGUUAAGGUUGUUGGAUGAUAGUGACUAGUCGCUGUUCUCUUUUGGGUUUUCUUUUUUGUAAAAUUGACUGCUCCCUGUGGUGAAUGUAUGUUAAAUCCCUAGCCAGCUGGUGUUUUGUUUCUUUUCGAAUUAUUAAGUUUGUGUAAUUUGGUUUAAUGGUUGGCUAGGGGAUUUUGUUUUUAUUUUUAUUUUUCCUUUCUCUUUUUAAGUACAUUUGAUUUUCUGUGUCUUCCUGUACCCUUUGGGUAUACCCCUUGGGUAGCUUCCCACCAAUUUGUGGGGAAUCAGAGACGGGGAUUGAUAGAGCCCCAACAGGAUUUGUGUGCUUAAUUGUGUGAUGUAUUGAUAUUGAGGAUGCAUUAUUAAUGAUUUGUGGUGGGUUUAUGGGGUGGAGAUUGCUGUGCUCAUACAGUUUGCAGUGAAACUACUCUUCCCUGUAGGAAGCUCUAUCUUUUGUCUGCUGAGUAUACCAUCUGAAGGAGGCUGCUCUGGGGGACUGUGUCCGGUCAGGGUGAACGACCCAAAUUAUUUUUAUGUUCUGUUAAAUAAAGUUUAAUGUGUUUUCUAUUUUAUGCUUACUGUAGUGGAUUUUCUUUGUAUGCACCUGAGUUCCCUGGGCAUUCGGGUUGCUACACGUAUAAGGACAGUAUGUCCAGCUACAGACAGGCUCUAAAAGCUGCUAGGGCUGAGCACCUGAGCAAACUCAUAGGAAAUAACCAGAACAAUC